UACGUAGGGUGCGAGCGUUGUCCGGAAUUAUUGGGCGUAAAGGGCUCGUAGGCGGUCUGUUACGUCGGGAGUGAAAACUCGGGGCUCAACUUCGAGCUGUCGGCGGAAACUAUCUGGUUAGAGUCCGGAAGAGGAGAGUGGAAUUCCUGGUGUAGCGGUGAAAUGCGCAGAUAUCAGGAAGAACACCGGUGGCGAAGGCGGGUCUCUGGGCAGUAACUGACGCUGAGGAGCGAAAGCGUGGGGAGCGAACAGG
rnacentral:rRNA from 1 species